CUACGGGAUGCAGCAGUGGGGAAUAUUGCACAAUGGGCGCAAGCCUGAUGCAGCCAUGCCGCGUGUAUGAAGAAGGCCUUCGGGUUGUAAAGUACUUUCAGCGGGGAGGAAGGGAGUAAAGUUAAUACCUUUGCUCAUUGACGUUACCCGCAGAAGAAGCACCGGCUAACUCCGUGCCAGCAGCCGCGGUAAUACGGAGGGUGCAAGCGUUAAUCGGAAUUACUGGGCGUAAAGCGCACGCAGGCGGUUUGUUAAGUCAGAUGUGAAAUCCCCGGGCGCAACCUGGGAACUGCAUCUGAUACUGGCAAGCUUGAGUCUCGUAGAGGGGGGUAGAAUUCCAGGUGUAGCGGUGAAAUGCGUAGAGAUCUGGAGGAAUACCGGUGGCGAAGGCGGCCCCUUGGACGAAGACUGACGCUCAGGUGCGAAAGCGUGGGGAGCAAACAGGAUUAGAUACCCGGGUAGUC
rnacentral:rRNA from 1 species